rnacentral:rRNA from 1 species
UUAAAAAAUAUUUUUCAUUAAAAUCAAUACAAAUAAUUUUUUAAAAAAAUUAUUCCAAACCUUUAAGUUAAAUAUAAAAUAUAAAAAAUUAACUUAUAAAAUACAAAAAUUUUAAACUUAAAAAUUAUAAAGAAAAAUUUAUUAUUUUUUCCUUUUGUAUCAGGAUUUAUUAAAUUUAAUAAUAUAUCUAAUUUUCUCGAAAAAAAAAUACUUAAUUAAUUAACCACUUUAAUAUAACAUUAUUAUAAAUAAUUUUUAAUUAGAAACUAAAAAUUAAACAUUUUUUUAUAUCUAGUUAUUUAAUAAAUAAAUUAAAUUUAGUUAUAAUUUACAUUUAUAAAAUAAAUUUUAUAAAUUUUAAUUAUACCAAAAAAAUUAGGGACAAACUUAAUUUUUAAGUUAAAAUUAUCUACAAAAUAUAUUUUAUUAUAAAUUUUAAAAUUUUUACUAAUAAAAAAAAUUUAAUAAUUUUUUAACAAAAUAAAAAAAUUUUAAAUAAAAAUUUAACUUUUUAUUAAAUUACUAUAUUAAAUUAAACUUUACUAAAAAUUAUGAUAAAAUUAGUAAAUUACAUUUAAAUAAAUAAUUCUACCUACCUCUCUAAAAAAUUAAUUAAAUAACUAGGCAAAUAUAUAUUCACCUGUUUAACAAAAACAUGUCUUUAAGAUAAUUAAUUUAAAGUCAAAUCUGCCCACUGAAAAUUUUUAAACGGCUGCAGAAAUUCUGUACAAAGGUAGCAUAAUAAUUUGUUUUUUAAUUAAAAACUAGAAUGAAAGAUUAAAUGAAAUAUAAACUUUUUCAAUUAAAUAUUUAUUAAAUUUUUUAUUUAAGUAAAAAAACUUAAAUAAAAAUUAAAGACGACAAGACCCUAUAGAAUUUUAUUUAUAUUAUUUUUAUUUUAAAAUAAAAUAAAUUUUAUUGGGGCAAUAAAAAAAUUUAAAUAAUUUAUUUUAAAUUUUACAUCCAAAAAUGUUCUUAAAACCUUAAUUUUUAAACCAAAUAAAUUAAUUACCUUAGGGAUAACAGCAUAAUUUUUCUUAAAAGAUCAUAUUUACAGAAAAGUUUAUGACCUCGAUGUUGAAUUAAGAUUAAAUUUAAAUGUAUAAAUUUCAAAUUUUAAGUCUGUUCGACUUUUAAUAUCUUACAUGAUUUGAGUUAAGAUCGGUGUAAGCCAGAUCAGAUUCUAUCUUAAAAUUUACAUAUAAUUGUACGAAAGGACCUUAUAUAUAAAAUAAUUUUUUUUAAAAAAAUAAAUAAUUUA